AGAGUUUGAUCCUGGCUCAGGACGAACGCUGGCGGCGUGCCUAAUACAUGCAAGUAGAACGCUGAAGAGAGGAGCUUGCUCUUCUUGGAUGAGUUGCGAACGGGUGAGUAACGCGUAGGUAACCUGCCUUGUAGCGGGGGAUAACUAUUGGAAACGAUAGCUAAUACCGCAUAACAAUGGAUGACACAUGUCAUUUAUUUGAAAGGGGCAAUUGUUCCACUACAAGAUGGACCUGCGUUGUAUUAGCUAGUAGGUGAGGUAAUGGCUCACCUAGGCGACGAUACAUAGCCGACCUGAGAGGGUGAUCGGCCACACUGGGACUGAGACACGGCCCAAACUCCUACGGGAGGCAGCAGUAGGGAAUCUUCGGCAAUGGGGGCAACCCUGACCGAGCAACGCCGCGUGAGUGAAGAAGGUUUUCGGAUCGUAAAGCUCUGUUGUAAGUCAAGAACGGGUGUGAGAGUGGAAAGUUCACACUGUGACGGUAGCUUACCAGAAAGGGACGGCUAACUACGUGCCAGCAGCCGCGGUAAUACGUAGGUCCCGAGCGUUGUCCGGAUUUAUUGGGCGUAAAGCGAGCGCAGGCGGUUUGAUAAGUCUGAAGUUAAAGGCUGUGGCUCAACCAUAGUUCGCUUUGGAAACUGUCAAACUUGAGUGCAGAAGGGGAGAGUGGAAUUCCAUGUGUAGCGGUGAAAUGCGUAGAUAUAUGGAGGAACACCGGUGGCGAAAGCGGCUCUCUGGUCUGUAACUGACGCUGAGGCUCGAAAGCGUGGGGAGCGAACAGGAUUAGAUACCCUGGUAGUCCACGCCGUAAACGAUGAGUGCUAGGUGUUGGAUCCUUUCCGGGAUUCAGUGCCGCAGCUAACGCAUUAAGCACUCCGCCUGGGGAGUACGACCGCAAGGUUGAAACUCAAAGGAAUUGACGGGGGCCCGCACAAGCGGUGGAGCAUGUGGUUUAAUUCGAAGCAACGCGAAGAACCUUACCAGGUCUUGACAUCCCGAUGCUAUUUCUAGAGAUAGAAAGUUACUUCGGUACAUCGGUGACAGGUGGUGCAUGGUUGUCGUCAGCUCGUGUCGUGAGAUGUUGGGUUAAGUCCCGCAACGAGCGCAACCCCUAUUGUUAGUUGCCAUCAUUCAGUUGGGCACUCUAGCGAGACUGCCGGUAAUAAACCGGAGGAAGGUGGGGAUGACGUCAAAUCAUCAUGCCCCUUAUGACCUGGGCUACACACGUGCUACAAUGGUUGGUACAACGAGUUGCGAGUCGGUGACGGCGAGCUAAUCUCUUAAAGCCAAUCUCAGUUCGGAUUGUAGGCUGCAACUCGCCUACAUGAAGUCGGAAUCGCUAGUAAUCGCGGAUCAGCACGCCGCGGUGAAUACGUUCCCGGGCCUUGUACACACCGCCCGUCACACCACGAGAGUUUGUAACACCCGAAGUCGGUGAGGUAACCUUUUGGAGCCAGCCGCCUAAGGUGGGACAGAUGAUUGGGGUGAAGUCGUAACAAGGUA
rnacentral:rRNA from 1 species